GGAAGCGGAUGGCUCCUGGUGGGGCCCCUGGACUUCAAAUCCAGUGACCGGCACGGAAAGGUGUCGGUGGUGGGUUCGAUUCCCAUGCGCUUCCGCCA
rnacentral:tRNA from 2 species